AACGCACCUUGCACUCUUUGGUAUUCCGAAGAGUAUGUCUGUUUGAGUGUCAUGAAACUCUCAACCCCCUUGUUUUGUAACGAAACGAGUGUGGGCUUGGAUUAUGGCUGUUGCCGGCGUAAUUGUCGGCUCGGCUGAAAUACACGAGCUACCCAUUUCUUAGAAAUAGACGGUUUGACUCGGCGUAAUAAUAUAUUUCGCUGAGGACGUCACAUUCUUAAUAUUAGUGGUGCUUCUAAUGCGACAUCUAAAUCUUUAAGCUUUAGACCUCAAAUCAGUCAGGACUACCCGCUGAACUUAA
rnacentral:misc_RNA from 1 species